rnacentral:rRNA from 1 species
CAUGGCGCAGUGAGGUGCGGGCAUAUAGACGAACCAGUGUGGAUGCUGGACCGUAGAGGGUGAGAGUCCCGUAGUCGAAAUGUGUUCCGCCGCUGUUGGAGGGUUGCCCGAGUAGCACGGGGCCCGAGGAAUCCCGUGUGAAUCUGCCAGGACCACCUGGUAAGCCUGAAUACUACCUGUUGACCGAUAGCGGAUCAGUACCGUGAGGGAAUGGUGAAAAGUACCCCGGGAGGGGAGUGAAAUAGUACCUGAAACCGGUCGCAUACAAGCCGUCGGAGCCUUUUUGGGGUGACGGCGUGCCUAUUGAAAAAUGAGCCUGCGAGUUAGUGGUAUGUCGCGAGGUUAACCCGUGUGGGGUAGCCGUAGCGAAAGCGAGUCCGAAUAGGGCGAGUCAGUGGCAUGUUCUAGACCCGAAGCGGAGUGAUCUACCCAUGGCCAGGGUGAAGCGACGGUAAGACGUCGUGGAGGCCCGAACCCACUUAGGUUAAAAACUGAGGGGAUGAGUUGUGGGUAGGGGUGAAAGGCCAAUCAAACUCCGUGAUAGCUGGUUCUCCCCGAAAUGCAUUUAGGUGCAGCGUCGCGUGUUUCUCACCGGAGGUAGAGCUACUGGAUGGUCUAGGGGGCCCACAAGCUUACCGAAAUCAGCCAAACUCCGAAUGCCGGUGAGUGAGAGCGCGGCAGUGAGACUGCGGGGGAUAAGCUUCGUAGUCGAGAGGGAAACAGCCCAGAUCGCCGGCUAAGGCCCCUAAGCGUGUACUAAGUGGAAAAGGAUGUGGGAUCGCUGAGACAACCAGGAGGUUGGCUUAGAAGCAGCCACCCUUGAAAGAGUGCGUAAUAGCUCACUGGUCAAGUGGUCCUGCGCCGACAAUGUAGCGGGGCUCAAGUACACCGCCGAAGCCGCGGCAUUCACAUAACACCCCGGAAGGGUUACGGCUUUUCCGGCAGUGGUGUGGAUGGGUAGGGGAGCGUCGUGUGGCCGUAGAAGCGCCGGAGUGAUCCAGGUGUGGAGGCCACGCGAGUGAGAAUGCAGGCAUGAGUAGCGAAAGACGAGUGAGAAACUCGUCCGCCGGAUGACCAAGGGUUCCUGGGCCAGGUUAAUCCGCCCAGGGUGAGUCGGGACCUAAGGCGAGGCCGACAGGCGUAGUCGAUGGACAACGGGUUGAUAUUCCCGUACCCGUGUAUCCGCGCCCAAUGGCGAAUCAGUUGUGCUAACCGUCCAAAAGUCUCCGGUGUUCCUUCGGGAACUGUGGGGAUGGCUGCACGGGACCCUGAUUGUAGUAGUCAAGCGAUGGGGUGACGCAGGAAGGUAGCUGGGCCAGGUGAUGGAAUACCUGGUGUAAGCCGGUAGGGCGAAUGGUAGGCAAAUCCGCCAUUCAUCAAGCCUGAGAGGUGAUGCGUACCCGUUGAGGGGAAUUCAGUGAUCCUAUGCUGCCGAGAAAAGCCUCUAGUGAGUUGGUACACGGCCCGUACCCCAAACCGACACAGGUGGUCAGGUAGAGAAUACCAAGGCGCUUGAGAGAACUCGGGUGAAGGAACUAGGCAAAAUGGUGCCGUAACUUCGGGAGAAGGCACGCUGAUAUGUAGGUGAGGUCCCUCGCGGAUGGAGCUGAAAUCAGUCGAAGAUACCAGCUGGCUGCAACUGUUUAUUAAAAACACAGCACUGUGCAAACACGAAAGUGGACGUAUACGGUGUGACGCCUGCCCGGUGCCGGAAGGUUAAUUGAUGGGGUUAGCGCAAGCGAAGCUCUUGAUCGAAGCCCCGGUAAACGGCGGCCGUAACAAUAACGGUCCUAAGGUAGCGAAAUUCCUUGUCGGGUAAGUUCCGACCUGCACGAAUGGCGU